UCUUGUUUUGUUUUCAUCUCAGAUUGUUCUGAUUGUAAUGAUUUUGAAGAUUAUCUGUGAAGAUUCUGAAACUUCUUUAAUGAGAAAUAUGCUUCUUUCUGUCACAGCAGGACUCUGGGGCUAAAUAGCAUAGGAGGUACACUUGUGGCAAUCCUAGUG